rnacentral:rRNA from 1 species
UUUAACUGAAGAGUUUGAUCAUGGCUCAGAUUGAACGCUGGCGGCAGGCUUAACACAUGCAAGUCGAGCGGGGGAAGGUAGCUUGCUACUGGACCUAGCGGCGGACGGGUGAGUAAUGCUUAGGAAUCUGC